rnacentral:rRNA from 1 species
AUACGUAGGGGGCGAGCGUUGUCCGGAAUGAUUGGGCGUAAAGGGCGCGUAGGCGGCCCGGUAAGUCUGGAGUGAAAGUCCUGUUUUUAAGAUGGGAAUUGCUUUGGAUACUGUCGGGCUUGAGUGAAGUAGAGGUAAGCGGAAUUCCUGGUGUAGCGGUGAAAUGCGUAGAUAUCAGGAGGAACACCGGUGGCGAAGGCGGCUUUAUGGGAUUUUAAUGGCGCUGAGGCUCGAAAGGGUGGGGAGCAAACAGGAUUAGAUACCCUGGUAGUCCGCACAGUAAACGAUGAAUACUUGUUUUCGGCGAUAUAAUGUCGGAGGCAAAGCGAAAGCGAUAAGUAUUCCACCUGGGGAGUACGCCGGCAACGGUGAAACUCAAAUGAAUGGGCGGGG